GAGUCUUUAGCUCAGUUGGUAGAGUAUCGUAUUUACACUACGAGGGUGAGAAGUUCAAGUCUUUUAGGGCUCA
rnacentral:tRNA from 1 species